GGAGGUUUUCUAUCUCCUCAUGCCUCUACCUGUCAUCUGGCAGGUGGGGUUAUGUCUACUAAAAGUUUAAAACUAGCGCUCUGAGGAUAGUAGCAAGUGGGGGGGUUGACAGGGGCGUUACACCUGUUAAACUGUAAUGCAGGUUUCCUAAGGCAAGCUCAGGGAGGACAGAAACCUCCUGCGGAGCAGAAGGGCAAAAGCUUGCUUAAACUUGAUUUUCAGUUCAAUACAGACAGUCAAAGCGGGGCCUCACAAUCCUUCUGACUUUUUGGGUUUUAAGCAGGAACUGGCUUGUGGUGGCCAAGUGUUCAUAGCAACGUCCAUUUUUGAUCCUUCAAAAUUAUCUCUUCCUGUCAUUGUGCAGCAGAAUUCACCAAAUGCUGGAUUGUUCACCCACUAAUAGAGAAUGUGAGCUGGAUUUAGACCAUUGUGAGACAGGUUAGAAAAGACCUC
rnacentral:rRNA from 1 species